rnacentral:rRNA from 1 species
UUUGCGAUAUACAGUAAGCGGCCAAGCGAAAGCAUUAAGUAUUCCACCUGGGGAGUACGCCGGCAACGGUGAAACUCAAAGGAAUUGACGGGGGCCCGCACAAGCGGAGGAACAUGUGGUGUAAUUCGAUGAUACGCGAGGAACCUUACCCGGGCUUAAAUUGCAGUGGAAUGAUGUGGAAACAUGUCAGUGAGCAAUCACAGCUGUGAAGGUGCUGCAUGGUUGUCGUCAGCUCGUGCCGUGAGGUGUUGGCUUAAGUGCCAUAACGAGCGCAACCCUUAUCUUUAGUUACUAACAGGUCAUGCUGAGGACUCUAGAGAGACUGCCGUCGUAAGAUGUGAGGAAGGUGGGGAUGACGUCAAAUCAGCACGGCCCUUACGUCCGGGGCUACACACGUGUUACAAUGGGGGGUACAGAAGGCAGCUAGCGGGUGACCGUAUGCUAAUCCCAAAAUCCUCUCUCAGUUCGGAUCGAAGUCUGCAACCCGACUUCGUGAAGCUGGAUUCGCUAGUAAUCGCGCAUCAGCCACGGCGCGGUGAAUACGUUCCCGGGCCUUGUACACACCGCCCGUCAAGCCAUGGGAGCCGGGGGUACCUGAAGUACGUAACCGCAAGGAUCGUCCUAGGGUAAAACUGGUGACUG